rnacentral:rRNA from 1 species
UACGUAGGGUGCGAGCGUUUGUCCGGAAUUACUGGGCGUAAAGAGCUCGUAGGCGGUCCUGAUCGUCGGAUGUGAAAGGCCUGGGCUCAACCUGGGAACUGCAUCCGAUACGGCGGGACUGGAGUGUGGGAGAGGUUGGUGGAAUUCCCAGUGUAGAGGUGAAAUUCGUAGAUAUUGGGAAGAACACCGGUGGCGAAGGCGGCCAACUGGACCACAACUGACGCUGAGGCGCGAAAGCGUGGGGAGCAAACAGG